AUUAAGCAGUUGGAGGUGAGAGUGGGGUCAAAUAUUCCCAGGUAAUUGGCAUUCCCACCUCUUUCUUCUUUCAGUUACCAAUCCAAGAGCCUCCAGUGACCACAUCAUGGGAUCUACUUGCCCAAAUUCUGUGCUAUCUGAAUGUCUCUCAAGUAUUUAUAUGGCUAAAGCUUACAACAUCAAGGCCUAUUCAAAGGCUUUUAUUUGUGAGGUGUUAUUUGCCAAGCAGGCUGGCAUUGUUUGGAAUGUGGAACAUAUGGAUUUGUCUACCCUCCUCCAUUGGCCUUCCUGGGAUCUGUCAUCUAUGAAUUUUCCAUAUAAAGCUGAUGCUGAGUGGGGGUUGGGGACAAUUUGAGGCCAGC
ensembl:lncRNA